AAUAAAUAUCAAUAAAUAAACUCCUUAUUUUUUAUAUCUGUUUAUUAUAUUAUUAUAUUAUUGAUAUUUGUGAUAAACACCUAUGGUAGGCACCUAAUAGUAAUGGUACGUAUUUUCCAUCAGAUUGCAUGUAUUACGAUGUAUUUAUUGUUAUACGCAACAAUAAAUACAAACCUAGGGUGGUAAUAAACCUGAGUGGCGGGGAUUAGUCAGUUAAAUUAGGUUUGUGGGAUAUUUGGGUGUUUUUAUUACUUUAUGAUUAACAAAAUAUUACUCCAAUAGUGGCUUAGAAAAAUUAUAGGUGUAUUAUAAAAGUAUAAACACACUGAUAGGUAUAUCAGCUCUCAAAAACCUCUUAAAACAUAAUCUUGAUUUUUGUAUUUUUGUAUUCGCUGUUUUGGUUCUCAAUAUUUGAAUGGUGUUUUGGUUCCAGUUCCUGUUUAAUUUAAU